rnacentral:rRNA from 1 species
ACUCUUGCUACACAAGUAGAGGAGAGGAAAGGAGUAAUCCGCUUUACGAUGAGCCUGCGGCCUAUUAGCCUGUUGGUGGGGUAACGGCCUACCAAAGCUACGAUAGGUAGCCGACCUGAGAGGGUGACCGGCCACAUUGGGACUGAGAUACGGCCCAGA